UUAUGUUCAGUUUAUGACCUCCAUUAUUGAAACUGAAAACAAACAGUGCUUUUUAUGCUUGGUGAAUCAAUAGUUAUAUGUAUAACUACAUGACAUGCUAUGGAGUUAAAGGGUUUAGUGGAAGUAAAACUAGAAUACCGGUAAAUGAUCUUAAAUGGUGGUCACCAUGACCAUUUUACAAACAAAAAAAACCUACCACCAACGUAUGUCCAAUUGAACCAGAGAAUUCUAGGGUGCAAAAACAAAACCUAUGGUCCUUAUUGUAUCUAGCUUUAAUACUCACAUUAAAAAAAAAAAGAUCAAAUUAUGGAGCAAAACCAAUGACUUGACCUGGAAAAACCCAAUUUAUUUCAGAUGUUGUUACAUGGUACAAUACAAAUUGAGGGUAAUAAAAAUAUCAUAAAUUAUGUAGCCGGUAGUUUUUAUUGCCUGAAAGAGAAAAUUUCUUUCAGAACAUGAUAGAUAUUGUGCUUAUAAAUACUGAUCAAAAGGUUUUUUAAAAAAUGACUUAAUAUAUGUGUAUUUAUUUAUUCUGUGUUCUGAAAUAUAUUGGUUAUUAUUAGUUGAAAAACCAGCAAACUUUGUCUGAUUUGUGGUGUAUGUACUUGCAUAAUAUGUUGGAUGUCUGUUGAAAGUUGUGCUUCAAAUGAAAUGCAUGAUUACUGUAUAAAAUGUGCAUUUUUAGCAUAAAUACAUGUACAUGUAUUGCAGAUAUUAUAAUGAGGAUCUCGGCAUGAAUUUCAGCCUUUCUGCUUCUUCUGAAUCUACUUUCUUCACUAAAUUUUAUAUACCCGGUAUGUGGCUAGUACCGGUACAUGUUCAUCUGCAAGUAAUAAUAUUAUGUUAAAAUGCUGAAAAAUGUGACUUUCUGCAGGUACAUGUAAUCUCUCUCUCUUUCUGUCUGUCUCUCUAACUUGGCCAAUAAUUGGCCUUUCUUCAGUAUUUUAUGACAUGUACGGUAUAAAAAUCAUCAAAUAUCCAUUUUUAGUGAAGCUUAAAGUGUCUCUGUUGGUCUAAUUAUAGUACAUGUACUAGACUGUUGUCACAAAUUAUUUUCAAUCAGAUAUACAUGUAUAUAGUUGUAUAAUUAUGUUGCAUUUUAGAACGUUUAAUACCUAUUCAAUGUGUGCAAUAUGUACACAUAUAUGUACAUUGCUGGUACAUUUUACAAGGCCAUUAUAUUCUUAUUUAUUGUUAAAGAUUCAUAGAGUUUAUGUAUAUCAAUUAAGUUAUUUCAUGUCGUGUAUAUGUCUUAUGUUGCUGACAAUUAAAUCUAUGUCAAUUAUA
rnacentral:misc_RNA from 1 species